AAACGAAAACUGGGGGUUGAAGUAGCUGCUAAAUGUCACCUCUAGGAAAUGGUUUGCUUUUCUCAGGAGCCUUUUUGCUUAUGCUCUGUCCAUAGAUGAUGAAUACAUCCUUGGUCAGAGGGCAAUCCAUCUUGCCGUGUCCCCUGGCCCUGCCCUGUGCUCCCUGGCAUUGCCACUGCCGCCCAGCUGGCAUUCAAUGGACAGCACACUGACAGAGCAUAUUUUUCAAAAACGGUUCCUUUCCGAUAAAUCUGUUGAAAUUUUAACAACAGUGAUUCUUCAGACAUCUGUUUUUUCUGCUACCUCUGUUAGUACAUAACAUAUGAGAAAACUGGAAAGGAGACCUCUUAGAGAAGAUCUGACGUAUAGUUUUGGCUCUUCCCACUCUGAAAGCACGGCAGUAUCUCAACGGUGGGAGAUAAGCUGUGGACACGUGGCUGUUUUACAUCUUCAUUGUGUCUAGUGACUGGAGCAAGGUUCUGAAACAUUCACUACUCUCAUCCCGUUCCCUUCUGGAGGUGAGUUGCAAGGAAUUUAGUGAAGGCAUGAGUGAGUACUGCUUUUAUGUCCUGGUGCAGUGUGCAUUCUCU
rnacentral:lncRNA from 13 species